rnacentral:rRNA from 1 species
UACGGAGGAUGCAAGCGUUAUCCGGAAUGAUUGGGCGUAAAGCGUCCGCAGGUGGCUGUGUAAGUCUGCUGUCAAAGAGCAAAGCUCAACUUUGUAAAGGCAGUGGAAACUACACGGCUAGAGUGCGUUCGGGGCAGAGGGAAUUCCUGGUGUAGCGGUGAAAUGCGUAGAUAUUGGGAAGAACACCGGUGGCGAAAGCGCUCUGCUGGACCUGCACUGACACUGAGGGACGAAAGCUAGGGGAGCGAAAGGG